rnacentral:rRNA from 1 species
AACGAACGCUGGCGGCAGGCCUAACACAUGCAAGUCGAGCGAGACCUUCGGGUCUAGCGGCGGACGGGUGAGUAACGCGUGGGAGUAUGCCCUUUGGUACGGAAUAGCCUCGGGAAACUGAGAGUAAUACCGUAUGUGCCCUUCGGGGGAAAGAUUUAUCGCCAAAGGAUUAGCCCGCGUUGGAUUAGGUAGUUGGUGGGGUAAAGGCCUACCAAGCCUACGAUCCAUAGCUGGUUUGAGAGGAUGAUCAGCCACACUGGGACUGAGACACGGCCCAGACUCCUACGGGAGGCAGCAGUGGGGAAUCUUAGACAAUGGGGGCAACCCGGAUCUAGCCAUGCCGCGUGAGUGAUGAAGGCCUUAGGGUUGUAAAGCUCUUUCAGCUGGGAAGAUAAUGACGGUACCAGCAGAAGAAGCCCCGGCUAACUCCGUGCCAGCCGCCGCCGUAA